GCCUCGCUGACCGCAUCCCACGCUCCGGCGCUACCACGCACGCCCGCCACCCCCACCUCGCCAUGACAGCGCGUCGCACGCGUACCGCGCCACGCUCCCAGCACAUCAUCCGCACCCACCCACACCCCACCCCAACUCCGCUCCGCGAUCGUCGCCUCGCCGCUGGAUCCCGCAUCACCGCGGGCCCAUACGCUUCAGCCUCGGGCAGCAGCCCCCUGCCUCUCAGCACCGCAGGCAGCGGUCAGGCAGUCCCGCAUCCCUCCCUUGAGCUCCCACCCCUCCUACAAACAAAUCCGUCGAAAAGCUCAGCAAAUGAAUGUUCGUGAAUGACCCUUGAUUUCUGGUCUUUGCACCAAACUGUUCUCUACAAUUCGGGUAUGUGAUAAAGUAAACUGAAUGAUCUCUUCACCGGUGAUCAUCCCGUCAAGGUCAAUUCGCCAUUACACCGCCACUCCCGGCGAAUGUCAUCUUCCCAUAUACCCCAUUGCUGGGGUUAUUUUGGUAAA
rnacentral:misc_RNA from 1 species